rnacentral:rRNA from 1 species
CGGAGGAUCCAAGCGUUAUCCGGAAUCAUUGGGUUUAAAGGGUCCGUAGGCGGGUUUAUAAGUCAGUGGUGAAAGCCCAUCGCUACAACGAUGGAACGGCCAUUGAUACUGUAGAUCUUGAAUUAUUAGGAAGUAACUAGAAUAUGUAGUGUAGCGGUGAAAUGCUUAGAGAUUACAUGGAAUACCAAUUGCGAAGGCAGGUUACUACUAAUGGAUUGACGCUGAUGGACGAAAGCGUGGGUAGCGAACAGGAUUAGAUACCCUGGUAGUCCACGCCGUAAACGAUGGAUACUAGCUGUUCGGAGCAAUCUGAGUGGCUAAGCGAAAGUGAUAAGUAUCCCACCUGGGGAGUACGUUCGCAAGAAUG